rnacentral:rRNA from 1 species
CGGGUGGUAAUGCCGGAUGCUCCGACUCCUCGCAUGGGGUGUCGGGAAAGAUUUCAUCGGUAUGGGAUGGGGUCGCGUCCUAUCAGGUAGUCGGCGGGGUAACGGCCCACCGAGCCUACGACGGGUAGCCGGCCUGAGAGGGCGACCGGCCACAUUGGGACUGAGAUACGGCCCAGACUCCUACGGGAGGCAGCAGUGGGGAAUAUUGCACAAUGGGCGCAAGCCUGAUGCAGCGACGCCGCGUGCGGGAUGACGGCCUUCGGGUUGUAAACCGCUUUUGAUCGGGAGCAAGCCUUCGGGUGAGUGUACCUUUCGAAUAAGCACCGGCUAACUACGUGCCAGCAGCCGCGGUAAUACGUAGGGUGCAAGCGUUAUCCGGAAUUAUUGGGCGUAAAGGGCUCGUAGGCGGUUCGUCGCGUCCGGUGUGAAAGUCCAUCGCUUAACGGUGGAUCUGCGCCGGGUACGGGCGGGCUGGAGUGCGGUAGGGGAGACUGGAAUUCCCGGUGUAACGGUGGAAUGUGUACAUAUCGGGAAAGAACACCA